UACGUAGGGGGCAAGCGUUGUCCGGAAUUAUUGGGCGUAAAGGGCGCGUAGGCGGCCUGGCAAGUGGAAGGUGAAAUCCCUCGGCUUAACCGAGGAACUGCCCUCCAAACUGCUUGGCUUGAGUCCGGGAGAGGUGAGUGGAAUUCCCAGUGUAGCGGUGAAAUGCGUAGAUAUUGGGAGGAACACCAGUGGCGAAGGCGGCUCACUGGACCGGAACUGACGCUGAGGCGCGAAAGCGUGGGGAGCAAACGGG
rnacentral:rRNA from 1 species